rnacentral:hammerhead_ribozyme from 22 species
CCGGUGUCUCAAGGUGCGUACCUUGACUGAUGAGUCCGAAAGGACGAAACACCAG